UACGAGCCCCGCUUAAAACCCAAAGGAUUUGACGGUGUUCCACCCAACUAGAGGAGCCUGUUCUAUAAUCGACAAUCCACGAUACACCUAACCAUUUUUUGCCACUCAGCCUGUAUACCUCCGUCGUAAGCUUAUCAUUUGAAUGAGAAAAAGUAAGCACAAGGACUAAAAGCCAAAACNUCAGGUCAAGGUGCANCUUAUAAAAUGGAAGAAAUGAGCUACAAUUUCUAAUUUAGAACACACGAAUUACUGCAUGAAACAAAGUCAUGAAGGUGGAUUUAGCAGUAAGUAAGGAAUAAAGAGCCUUACUUAAUUUGGCCCUGGAACGUGUACACACCGCCCGUC
rnacentral:rRNA from 1 species